GGCCAUGAAGAGGCAGAACGUGCGGACCCUGUCCCUCAUCAUCUGCACGUUCACCUACCUGCUGGUCGGGGCUGCCGUCUUUGAUGCCCUGGAGUCCGACAACGAGAUGCGGGAGGAGGAGAAACUCAAAGCCGAGGAGAUCCGGCUCAAAGGAAAGUACAACAUCACCACCGAGGACUACCGGCAGCUGGAGUUGGUGAUCAUGCAGUCCGAGCCGCACCGGGCUGGUGUCCAGUGGAAAUUCGCCGGCUCCUUCUACUUUGCCAUCACGGUCAUCACGACCAUUGGUUAUGGACAUGCUGCCCCAGGGACUGACGCAGGGAAGGCCUUUUGCAUGUUCUACGCAGUCCUGGGGAUCCCACUGACACUCGUCAUGUUCCAGAGCUUGGGCGAGCGCAUGAACACCUUCGUCAAGUACCUCUUGAAACGCAUCAAAAAGUGCUGUGGGAUGAGGAGCACCGAGGUCUCCAUGGAAAACAUGGUCACUGUGGGUUUCUUCUCCUGCAUGGGAACACUCUGCAUUGGAGCAGCAGCCUUUUCCCAGUACGAGGAAUGGAGCUUUUUCCAUGCUUACUAUUACUGCUUUAUAACAUUGACUACAAUAGGGUUUGGAGACUAUGUGGCCCUGCAGACCAAAGGGGCCCUUCAAAAGAAGCCUCUCUAUGUGGCUUUUAGCUUUAUGUACAUUCUAGUAGGGUUGACAGUCAUUGGGGCAUUUCUAAAUCUGGUUGUUCUCAGGUUCUUAACCAUGAACAGCGAGGACGAGAGGCGGGAUGCCGAGGAACGGGCAUCCCUGGCAGGGAACCGCAACAGCAUGAUUAUCCACAUCCAAGAGGACUCUCAGCAUGGUCGGCCACGGUACAAGGCCGAAGUAACAGACCUUCAGUCAGUUUGUUCCUGCAUGUGUUACAGGUCCCACGAGUACACCAGCCGGGUGGUGUCCCACCAAAAUUCGUUCAGCUCGAAGCUGAACCCCCAGUACUUUCACUCCAUCUCUUACAAGAUAGAGGAGAUCUCGCCAAGCACAUUAAAAAACAGCCUUUUCCCGUCUCCUGUCAGCUCCAUCUCACCUGGGUUGCACAGCUUUACAGAUAACCACAGGCUGAUGAAAAGGCGAAAGUCCAUUUAAAGUGAUUUGUCUUCUUUUGCUUUCCUUGUUUUCCCCAGUUCUUCUUCGUUGUUUUGUUUCUGUUUUGUUCCUUGAAUGAGACAGAGCGAGGCCAAAGGGAGUAGAGAAAGCCAGUCCUCCUCUGAGACUCAGCUCUUGAGCAUGAAGCAUGGAUUAUUACUGUUCCAGCAAAGUAUGCCUUACAUUACCCCCUCGGUGGAUGUCAGAGGAUUCAAGGUGACGUGAAGUCCUCUCAUUUGUUUCCUAGUGCUUUGACUGAAGGAAUGCCUGGACAGUAAUCAAGAGUAUCGUGACUCAAACCCAAGCAAGGUAAUUUCUUUUUCACUCUGACAGAUUUGAAAGCCUUUGUUAGGAAAAAGGUAUCGUUUGUUGCUAAAAGCUUAAAAAAGAGCAAUGAAUGGAACCAAGAUGGAGAAUGAAAAUGUUCCAGAAUGAUCUGGUCCACGCAGACUGGAGGGCAGAGGCUUGGGUGGAAGUAGCCUUUACUGAAGUUUAUACUCUCAUUUAGCUUUUUUUUAAUAUUCCUGUUAAUAUUAGGAUCUAAUUAAGAUAGUCAUUGAAAAUCUUUAUGAGGAAGCUAGACCACGGAGAUGUAUUGGAGUGUGUCCCUUAAACUAAUGUUACGGACUUUUUAAUGCAUAUUUCAACAAGACACACUUAUUAACUGGAAUAUUGUGCUAAUUACAAUGAAAGUCACACUAUCACUACUUUUCCCAACUAAAGGUGUAUAGUACUCACAGAACUGAAAAAGAAACAUUGUCUAUUUGACCAGCCUGCCUGUCAUCUGACUUUAAGAUCAAACUUUAUUUUAGGAGCUUUAGCAAGAUAAGUAAUAUGAAAAGGGUUAGCCAUCGUAAUGAUACGCUGAGAUUGAACCAAAUAGAAUAAUGACAUUGGAUGAGGAAAAAUUGAUUACAGAUGGAAGGUGCUCUGGGACUUUUAUGCUAGUUAAUCUGAACUCAGAGACUGAAUUAAAGCCAUGAAAACUGAUGGUACCCAUUGCCAAAAUGCAGUUUGCAGUUAUUUAGGAUGUAGAUAACGAACACAGCAGAGGGAUUUUCACCUGAAGAAGUAGUAGCAAGGCAAAAAGAAAGACAGAAAGAAUGAAAUCCUGCUCAACAGCUGGAGUAGUUAUGUUAUUUCCAACUGAAACCACAAUGAGAUAGUUCUGAAAAAGACUUGUGUUUUGAUCCAGAUAGAAUUAGUCUGGGAGAUAUCCUUUGCUCAGACAUGGUCUAUGCUUAUCCUUGUUCACCUGAUCAGAAAUUAACUUGCAGACGCUUCCUGCUCACCAUACCCACUUUCCAGCCCACCUCUGAGUGUGUCAGGAACAGGUGAGCCGAUAGGACAGGAAGGGGUUAAAGGCGAUGAAAUGGGGCUCCAUAGGGAAGUGUGGAGUCCUGCAGACCCCCUGGGUUGCAUGUUUUAAAGGCCCUGGCCUGCUGUGCAUUGCUCAGCCCUUCACUCACAACAUUGCACUGGUUACUGCUGAUACAGAAAUGCGUGGAGUUCCUGAUCAUCCAGGCAGAUUUUUUGCUGCUCCCUUCAUGGAAACUAAGACUUAAUUCAGCCAGCCCAUCCUGAGCAGUGCUGAUCGCAGUGAUACAUUAUGCUAGGGACGUUAUUUCCUUUAGUGGUGGUCCUAAGUAAAAGGGCUCAGUAGCGUGUAAGGAAACUCUUAAGUACUUAGCUAGUCUAGAGCCUGGAGUGCCAGGAUCUUCCUCUGAAGUCAAUGGAAGCUUUACUGGAGCUAACUUUGUCCAGACCGGUCCUAAGUCUUUCAUUUCCUUGGAAAUUGUUUGGUGAUUGUUCCUAUUUUUAAUUUUCUGCGAAGAAGCUUCUCCAAAAUGCCUGAUUGAUUCUCAGUCAGUGUUGUGGUAUCCUUUGCACAAAUUUCCAAGUCAUGUACAUGUACACCAGUAUUCCUCUAGGGAAAACUCCAGCAUAAAGCUUCAAAUAAAAGAGCUUCUAGCAUUUGUGGCCCCUUUACACUGGGUGCUGCAUUCAGUUCACAGAAGUCACUUUCUGUGUGCACUGGAGAAAGCAGGCACAGAGGUGCAUGAUGGUUGGGUGUGCACAUACCCUAGGUGGAUGUUGCAGCUGGUAAGCCGGACCUUGCUAUAGUAUUCUCUGAAACCAGUGACUUUAUACUACUGUGAGUGGAUAAGCUAAGGAGAAAUGUAGGGCACUAAAAUAACAAAAAGUUAGUACUGUAGGGCUAAUUUUUGUUUGUGCAGUUUUCUGUUUUUUAUCUGAUUUUGGUGCGAUGCAAUGAGUCCCAAUUUAUAUCCGUCUUACGGAAACUGGAGUGUGGACCUGUAUUUAUUUACUAUACAGUAAAUACAUAUAUAUAUACAAUUAGAUAUUAUAAUGUUACCUCCAGCUAGUGAUUGCUGUGAACAAACUUUACUAAAUAUAACAGUGGAUCAGAAAAACCUGAAGACAACAGUCAACCUGUAUAACUCAUGCUACUGUAUUUUGCUUUAUGGAAUCCAGGCAACCAAAGCUACUCAGCUAAUUUUAGGCUGGAAAUAUUAUCCUUGGAGCCUUCAGCCUUCAGUUGUCUCUUCUUCUGUGAAUAUUGUAAUUAACAAAUGUCCCAGAGCCUUCCCCCAAACUUGCUUCCUGGCCAUGUAAGGAAUGCUGCCAUAUAUCAACACCCACAACAGAUCAGGGAAAAAAAAAAGGGAAAGGGAAAGGAAAGGAAAGAUUAAUGCUGCAAUUUUGUUGGUAAUUAAUAUUCACAGUUCCAAGCUGUGUCAUCUUUGGUUCACUUUGAGAAAUGCAGAGCAAACAGCAGCGUGAUAAAAUUUAUCAUAGGUGGCUAAUUCACAAAUGGAGCUAGCAAAUAUAAUAAUUGAAACUAUGCUCUGUAAUGCAUCUCCGUCAUGCGCGAGUUCUGAUACCACUAGCCUGGCUUUGAUUCACUGUUUAUCUGGUCUGUGGAACAGCUUGCAGUAAUUGCUCUAUCCAGAGCACUAUACUGGAGGCUAGAAGAAAGAUCCGUUUCACAGACAGUGGCCCUCCGGCUUUCUCCAUACACUCUCCCCAUUUCCUGCCCUGACAUUAACUCGUUAGCCAUUUCGUAGACGUAUGUUCAAGUCCGAGAUCACCACAUUCUGUACUUUCCCCCAUCAUGUUUUAAUGAAAAGCCUUAUAUUAAAGAACUGCACCCUGGGGAAGAAAAUGUUCCACUCUAAUUACUACUGCCAAAAGAAAUCUACAGAUUGAUUAAAAACAAUACUUGGGGAAUCAAACAGGAAAUGUAAAGUGCACAAACCUGCACAUGUGAGAUCCAUUUCUACCUUAGCCAAGAUGCAAUGUUUCAGCCCAGGAGGAGAAUUUGGAAUUAUGCUUCCUUGGGAGAAGUCCUAGGCACCAGCAGAAAUGGCAGCACAAAGCGAAUGAGCAAACAAAGCAACAUAAUGGUUUACUCAUUCUCUGUAGAUCAUUGGCAAAGUUUGUGGUGUGAUUUCAAAUUGAAGGAAGAGCUGUGGGUCUUCCUGGUUUAGUCUAUCUGCUAAUUCUCUGCCAUCUUCCUCCCACAGCAGAAGCAACAGGAGGUGCAAGAAGGAUGGAGCAUGGCUGGUUCAUGGUGGGGUGGAUUGUUGGUGCAACCACAUUUCCAGUCUUGAGGGAAAGCAGGAAACAGGGAAAAAUGUCUCUUCUAGAGGUCUUUUCGCUCUUCUUGUCCUGGUAGAGGUCAGUUACGCCAUCUCUCCUAGCUCCUGCUGCAAACCCACAGUCUAACCACUGUGGCUCUGAGAGACCUGGACCAUGGUAUCCUUACUCAGCUUGAUGGUACCUCCAAAGAGUUGUGCUGUAGAAAUGUGUGGGAAAUGCUGAGCUGCUCCAGCUGGGUGUAGGAGGUCACAAUAUGGCAAAGAAACAUCUUUGUACUAACAGUGUUUGGACAGUUCCUACAUGUAGACCAAUAAUCAAAAUUGAGCUUUAGAGAAAUAAGAAUAAUUUGUUAUUGUUGGCUCUCCCUGCAAUACUGGUAUGCAUCUCCUUUAUUAAAAUUAUUGUUAACAGACUGAUUAAUCUGAUAAGAGUAUUUUAUUAGAUUAGCUGAAGUAGAGUGUGUAAAAGCUUUUGGCCUUCUCAGAGGCUGAAGUCUGAAACGUAUACAAUGAUUUCCAAAGGGCCUGCUUGGUGAUACUCCUGCUGACAGGAGGGGUCAUGUCACAGCUGUACUAAUGACAAGCAUCAUCUUGGCAAGUUGAGUGGCUCUCAUAAUGGGAAUUUCUGAGGAAAGGAGUUGAGGCAAGGUCCAAUAAAAGGAGUAAGGACCUUAGUUUCCACUGAAUUAAGUAGGUGCUUAAAUGUCUUUGUGGAGGUAGGCUUUGGACCUGAUUUUGUGUUACUUGUUACUUGAAAGAACUAGUACUGUAUCAUAGAUAGACGAUAUGAUCCAGAUGGUACUGAGCAAGAGGCUCAAUGAGGAAGGUGCAGCCACCUUUCUCUGUCACAGCCUGAAUUGCUGAGGGAGCACAUGCUAUUGAUAUACCCUUCUCCCAAACCCUGUCGGAGCCAGGUUAAAAAAGGCAGACCAAAAAGGUGAAUUUCUGCUUUGCCUCUGAGUGAGGGUAGCGAAGGGCAGGGGUAGUUUCUGACACUUGCCUUUGGACUGCGUGCUGGGCAAGAGCUUGGCACCGCACUCUUGUUAGGGACCAAGGCUGGAGUCAGGAGUCAUCUGCAUUUCUUUCAUAAGAUAUGAGUAACAUCACUUUCGCUCUUCACUCUUCACGGGUGUGUUGCAAAAGAUUUACUAGAAAGUGUCUGUCCAGGACCAUGAAACUAGUGUGUAGUGAGUUUUACUUGUACGUGUUCAAUUUAGAAAAAUGAGUUGCAAGAUUCUGUAGGAAAAAAAGGAAAAAAAAAAGACAACUGUCAGGCAUUC